rnacentral:rRNA from 1 species
AUGUGGAACUGCAUCCUCUUCUCCCCCGACGCCCGGAGCGGCGAGCUGCAACCAUGGACGGCAGGAGCUGCAACCCGUUUUCGUGGGAGCUACGACCGGCGUCCAUGGGAGCUGCGGCCGAAAUUCGAGCUGCAACCAUGGAUGGCGGGGAGCUGCAAUCGGCCUCCGGGGGAGCUGCGUGCGGUGAACGGUGAAGGGGAAGCAAUUUUGCGUGGAAGUUCCGUUUCUCUCCGAUGUCUGAGAAGAAAGCUCCUAGGAAGUUUAUCUGGUCGGUGGACUGCAGCGAUAUUCAGGUUCAGUUACAGCAUCCAAUCAUCUGUAUAUCUCAGCGCCUCUUUUGUUUUGUACCACUCACAAUCCAUAUGUGCAUAUCAGAGGAAAUGUGCUUUCACCAGGCAUGUUGGAGCGAGCAUACCUAGUUCCCCGGUUGCAAAUAUGAUCCUAACUAGCCAUUAA